GGUGGCUCAGUGGUAGAGCAUUUGCCUUGUAUCCAUGAGGCCCUGGGUUCGAUUCCUCAGCACCA
rnacentral:tRNA from 1 species